rnacentral:rRNA from 1 species
AUUGAACGCUGGCGGCAGGCCUAACACAUGCAAGUCGAGCGGAUGAAGGGAGCUUGCUCCUGGAUUCAGCGGCGGACGGGUGGGUAAUGCCUAGGAAUCUGCCUGGUAGUGGGGGAUAACGUCCGGAAACGGGCGCUAAUACCGCAUACGUCCUGAGGGAGAAAGUGGGGGAUCUUCGGACCUCACGCUAUCAGAUGAGCCUAGGUCGGAUUAGCUAGUUGGUGGGGUAAAGGCCUACCAAGGCGACGAUCCGUAACUGGUCUGAGAGGAUGAUCAGUCACACUGGAACUGAGACACGGUCCAGACUCCUACGGGAGGCAGCAGUGGGGAAUAUUGGACAAUGGGCGAAAGCCUGAUCCAGCCAUGCCGCGUGUGUGAAGAAGGUCUUCGGAAUGUAAAGCACUUUAAGUUGGGAGGAAGGGCAGUAAGUUAAUACCUUGCUGUUUUGACGUUACCAACAGAAUAAGCACCGGCUAACUUCGUG